rnacentral:lncRNA from 1 species
GGGGCGAGUUGGUGAAAGGACGAUUCGAGGAGGACGAGUGUCAAUUCGGGGGUGGACAACAAUUCUGCUCAACUCGGGAAACUGAUCUCUGGUCGACCACAAAAUAAGCUCUCUCCAAACAGAUACACAGAGUCCAAGAGGGGGAGCUGACRGGAGAUCCAGARCAACCAAGGGUAAAGGUCGGAGAYUGGGUAAGGAUCAAGGUCCACAAGAGAAAGUGGCAGRAUCCCAGGUGGACUGGACCGUACGAAGUGAAGGAGGUUACUUCACACUCAGUCCAGGUCAAAGGUAAAUCAGGGGCGCCUUGGCACCACUUGACUCAUUGCACCCCAGCUUCGAUUCCCAACAGAACACUGACAGAGGUCAGGGUCGACUUGAGCGACUUAAAUUCGGCUCCAAUACAACCCGAUUAGCAGGUGACGAUGUGGACCAGACUCCCAUCGGCACCGGCUAAUGGGCCUCCUAGGGAUAGGGGUUAUCCCUGGACUAGACUGGGCAUAUCUGGCCCCGGUUUAUUUGUGUGUUUGUAAAUGCAUAUGUCUACAAUGAGAAAUUGAACGAAUGUUUAACAAUGUUUUUAGAUGUGUUGACUAUAUUGAGUGAAUGUUCAAACGAUGUUUUAGAUGUGCCUGGCGUAAUGAAGAUUUGUGAGACCAAAUCGUGUGCAUGAAAUACGCUUGAUAUUCAGUCGGGGACUAAUAUCGUAUGAAUGAGGUCGGGGACCAAGCGAGUGUGGUACAUUAGGUAUUUCAGUUGGAGCUGGUACGGUGAGAAUGUUGAAAAGUCGCAGGCUUGCUGAUGAGAGUUUUCAUAGAUUGAGGGGGUGUGCAUGACUGUUGGAAAAGUGUUAACUCUUAACGUAAAAUUUUUUGUAGAUUUAUAUUAUGAGGUUUGAACUAUACUAAUAGUGAUACUAAUCAACAUCUGAACAUACUUCGUUAAACAUUAAUUGAGCCACUGAGUAAUAGAUAAGAUAUACACUAGGUACGGGGCGACGGUGUGGUCGAUGUAAGACGGGAGUGGUGUUCUAACCAAGUGCUGAGAAUAAGGUAGAUUUAUUUAGUUCUUUAUUCAUUAUAUACAAGUAUCUCCGGUUUUAUGAUUUUGGUUUGAU